GGAGAAGUGGCCGAGUGGUCGAAGGCGCUUGACUCGAAAUCAAGUGAACGUUUACUCGUUCCUAGGGUUCGAAUCCCUACUUCUCCGCCA
rnacentral:tRNA from 1 species